rnacentral:rRNA from 1 species
GUAGGGAAUAUUGGGCAAUGGAGGCAACUCUGAACCAGCCAUGCCGCGUGCAGGAAGACGGCCCUCUGGGUUGUAAACUGCUUUUAUCCGGGAAUAAACCUGCCUUCGUGAAGGUAGCUGAAUGUACCGGAAGAAUAAGGAACGGCUAACUCCGUGCCAGCAGCCGCGGUAAUACGGAGGAUCCAAGCGUUAUCCGGAUUUAUUGGGUUUAAAGGGUGCGUAGGCGGCCUGUUAAGUCAGGGGUGAAAGACGGUGGCGCAACCAUCGCAGUGCCCUUGAUACUGAUGGGCUUGAAUGGACUAGAGGUAGGCGGAAUGUGACAAGUAGCGGUGAAAUGCAUAGAUAUGUCACAGAACACCGAUUGCGAAGGCAGCUUACUAUGGUGCUAUUGACGCUGGGGCACGAAAGCGUGGGGAUCGAACAGGAUUAGAUACCCCUAGUAGUCC